GCCGAGGUAGCUCAGUUGGUAGAGCACACGGCUGAAAACCGUGGUGUCCGCAGUCCGAUUCUGCGCCUCGGCACCA
rnacentral:tRNA from 1 species